rnacentral:rRNA from 1 species
UUUGACCUCGGCACAGGUAGGC